UACGUAGGGUGCAAGCGUUGUCCGGAAUUAUUGGGCGUAAAGAGCUCGUAGGCGGUUCGGUAAGUCGGGUGUGAAAACUUUGGGCUUAACCCAAAGCGUGCAUCCGAUACUGCUGUGACUUGAGUUCGGUAGGGGAGUGGGGAAUUCCUAGUGUAGCGGUGAAAUGCGCAGAUAUUAGGAGGAACACCGGUGGCGAAGGCGCCACUCUGGGCCGAAACUGACGCUGAGGAGCGAAAGCGUGGGUAGCAAACAGG
rnacentral:rRNA from 1 species